AUGCACGCUGGCGGCGUGCCUCAUCCCUGCAAGUCGCGCGAACGGACGAGAAGCUUGCUUCUCUGAUGUUAGCGGCGGACGGGUGAGUAACACGUGGAUAACCUACCUAUAAGACUGGGAUAACUUCGGGAAACCGUAGCUAAUACCGGAUAAUAUUUUGAACCGCAUGGUUCAAAAGUGAAAGACGGUCUUGCUGUCACUUAUAGAUGGAUCCGCGCUGCAUUAGCUAGUUGGUAAGGUAACGGCUUACCAAGGCAACGAUGCAUAGCCGACCUGAGAGGGUGAUCGGCCACACUGGAACUGAGACACGGUCCAGACUCCUACGGGAGGCAGCAGUAGGGAAUCUUCCGCAAUGGGCGAAAGCCUGACGGAGCAACGCCGCGUGAGUGAUGAAGGUCUUCGGAUCGUAAAACUCUGUUAUUAGGGAAGAACAUAUGUGUAAGUAACUGUGCACAUCUUGACGGUACCUAAUCAGAAAGCCACGGCUAACUACGUG
rnacentral:rRNA from 1 species